AGUCGAGAAUCUUCGGCAAUGGGCGAAAGCCUGACCGAGCGACGCCGCGUGCGGGAUGAAGGCCUUCGGGUUGUAAACCGCUGUCAAUGGGGAGGAAGGCUGCGUGAAGAGCGCAGUUUGACCUAUCUUUGGAGGAAGGACGGGCUAAGUUCGUGCCAGCAGCCGCGGUAAGACGAACCGUCCAAACGUUAUUCGGAAUUACUGGGCUUAAAGGGUGCGUAGGCGGUGCUACAAGUCGGGUGUGAAAUCCCUCAGCUUAACUGAGGAAUUGCGCCCGAAACUGUAGUGCUGGAGUGAGGCAGGGGUGAGCGGAACUGAUGGUGGAGCGGUGAAAUGUGUUGAUAUCAUCAGGAACACCGGUGGCGAAGGCGGCUCACUGGGCCUUUACUGACGCUGAUGCACGAAAGCUAGGGGAGCAAA
rnacentral:rRNA from 1 species